UCGUCAGUGAGGUAUAUCCUUACCUGUUACUCCGUAAGGAGUCGCAGAACGUGAUGAAUGGAGUGUAUGAGCUGGUGAUUAACUGGUGCUCCCACCUCUGAGGGACUAACAACUCCUCAGAGGCCAUUCUGAU